CACACUUAUAGGCUGAGUUUCUCCAGAUUCGGGUGAAGAGUGCGACCAGUGUUCUGAGACAGCAGGUCUGGAUGACAAGGGAGAGCUCGAGGGGCGCAUAUCACCAUGCACAUCAGGUGGGGUAUAGAUACCCAGAAUGCACAGAGUGGCUCAAGAGUCUUUCAUUGAGUGGAGCACUCCAUCUGUCUUGGUAGAGAACAACUUCUCUUGGUCAAAAGUUUGGCAAGAGCUCCAUCUUCAGCCGAGGAUGGUUGAGAAGGAACUGCAGGGCUCAGGUCAUGCAUGUGCUAGAUGUGGCACCAACAGCACCACGAGACACCUACUGCGCAUGCACGACCUGUGCAGACACUGCUACCGAAAAUCUCCAAUCGAUGGCACCGGGACGCACUGACAUCUGAAGUGGAGCACCCACAGGAACAGCACUUGAAGGAGAACCAGGGCCUGCCAGGCCCUCCCAUGUCUCCAGUGGACCAGCCUGAGUCUGUCUGUAGACACCACAGUCUGCAGCACAUACCUGUCUAUGAUUUCAUCUUCCCGAUGCAUGAUUGGCAUCCCAAAUAUUCAGAAUCAUGAG